CUUUUUAUUACUUCUGAUGUGGAAGGAUGGCAUCUUCUGAUUUUGUGCAAGAAAGCCUUGCUAUGGGUGUCAUCCUCAAUCUGCGUUCACCAGGACUGCCUGUGCCCUGAACCCAGCAUUUCUGCUGAAAGCCAGCCUUUUUCCUCUGGACGCAAGCUGACACGGACCUGGAAAUGGGGACAGUUUCCGAGUGGAGUUAAGAGCUGCUCUUGCUUGCUGCACAGUCAGCCAGGGGCAUUCAUCCCUCAGGAGGCCUUUUGGCUCGUUUCUUCACAUCUGUCCGUGUCACAGUGUACUGGAGAACCACUCACACGGGGCAUUAAUAGUAUGUGAAUAUUAAAAAUCUUGUAAACAUUUUAUUCAAAUGUAUUGUCAUUUUAGCAGUUUGUUUUUCUUAAACUAACUCCGUAUGGGUAUGUGUUUGAAGGCCUGUUACAAAGCCUCUGUGUGAACACUAAUCCACUGAGGGUCCCUCCGUGGCCACCGCCACCGCUGACAGCCUCGGAACAAAGGUAAGCAAAUUGCCCCAAGCAGGGUUAUCUCCAGAGGGAGCGGUGGCCAAAUGCCGUCUGAGGUU